rnacentral:rRNA from 1 species
AGAGUUUGAUCCUGGCUCAGGAUGAACGCUAGCGGCAGGCCUAACACAUGCAAGUCGAGGGGGAAGUUACUUUCGGGUAACUGAGACCGGCGUACGGGUGCGUAACGCGUAUACAAUCUGCCUUUCACUGGGGGAUAGCCCGAAGAAAUUUGGAUUAAUACCCCAUAGUAUAGUAGUGUGGCAUCACACAACUAUUAAAGCCUUGGUGGUGAAAGAUGAGUAUGCGUUCUAUUAGCUAGUUGGAGAGGUAACGGCUCCCCAAGGCGAUGAUAGAUAGGGGUUCUGAGAGGGAUGUCCCCCACACUGGUACUGAGAUACGGACCAGACUCCUACGGGAGGCAGCAGUGAGGAAUAUUGGACAAUGGUCGGAAGACUGAUCCAGCCAUGCCGCGUGCAGGAUGACGGCCUUAUGGGUUGUAAACUGCUUUUGUAAGGGAAGAAUAAGGGCUACGCGUAGUUUGAUGACGGUACCUUACGAAUAAGCAUCGGCUAACUCCGUGCCAGCAGCCGCGGUAAUACGGAGGAUGCGAGCGUUAUCCGGAAUCAUUGGGUUUAAAGGGUCUGUAGGCGGGCUGGUAAGUCAGAGGUGAAAGCGCUUAGCUCAACUAAGCAACUGCCUUUGAAACUGUUGGUCUUGAAUGGUUGUGAAGUAGUUGGAAUGUGUAGUGUAGCGGUGAAAUGCUUAGAUAUUACACAGAACACCGAUAGCGAAGGCAUAUUACUAACAAUUAAUUGACGCUGAUGGACGAAAGCGUGGGGAGCGAACAGGAUUAGAUACCCUGGUAGUCCACGCU